GGUUUGAUUAUGGCUCAGAUUGAACGCUGGCGGGAUGCUUACACAUGCAAGUCGAACGGCAGCACGGACUUCGGUCUGGUGGUUAGUGGCGAACGGGUGAGUAAUGUAUCGGAACGUGCCUAGUAGCGGGGAUAACUACGCGAAAAGCGUAGCCAAUACCGCAUACGCCCUUCGGGGGAAAGCGGGGGACUCCUCGGGGCCUCGCACUAUUAGAGCGGCCGAUAUCGGAUUAGCUAGUUGGUGGGGUAACGGCUCACCAAGGCGACGAUCCGUAGCUGCUCGAGAGGACGACCAGCCACACUGGGACUGAGACACGGCCCAGACUCCUACGGGAGGCAGCAGUGGGGAAUUUUGACAAAUGGGGGAAACCCUGAUCCAGCCAUCCCGCGUGUGCGAUGAAGGCCUUCGGGUUGUAAAGCACUUUUUGGCAGGAAAGAAACGGCACGGGAUAAUACCCCGUGCAACUGACGGUACCUGCAGAAUAAGCACCGGCUAACUACGUGCCAGCAGCCGCGGUAAUACGUAGGGUGCAAGCGUUAAUCGGAAUUACCGGGCGUAAAGCGCAGCGCAGAAAAGUGUCUGGAAAGAAAGAUGUGGAAAAUCCCAGAGCUUAACUUUGGAACUGCAUUUUUAACUACCGAGCUAGAGUGUGUCAGGAGGGAGUAAUUCCGCGGCAGGAAAUGCGCAGAUAUGCGAGGAACACCGAUGGCGAAGGCAGCCUCCUGGGAUAACACUGACGCUCAUGCACGAAAGCGUGGGGAGCAAACAGGAUUAGAUACCCUGGUAGUCCACGCUCAAAACGAUGUCAACUAGCUGUUGGGGCCUUCGCCUUGGUAGCGCAGCUAACGCGUGAAGUUGACCGCCUGGGAGUACGGUCGCAGAUUAAACCAAAGGAAUUGACGGGACCCGCACAAGCGGUGGAUGAUGUGGAUUAAUUCGACGCAACGCGAAAACCUACCUACCCUUGACAUGUCUGGAAUCCUAACAUUUCCGGAGGCUCGCAAGAGAACCGGAACACAGGUGCUGCAUGGCUGUCGUCAGCUCAAAAGCUUGUGAGAUGUUGGGUUAAGUCCUGCAACGAGCAGCAACUCUGUCAUUAGUUGCUACGAAAGGGCACUCUAAUGAGACUCGCUGGGUGACAAAACUGAGGAAGGCGGGAUGACGUCAAGUCCUCAAGGUAGCCCUGGCGGGGUAGGGCUUCACACGUCAUACAAUGGUCGGGACAGAGGGUCGCCAACCGCGAGGGGAGCUAAUCCCAGAAACCCGAUCGUAGUCCGGAUCGCAGUCUGCAACUCGACUGCGUGAAGUCGGAAUCGCUAGUAAUCGUGAUCAGCAUGUCGCGGUGAAUACGUUCCUGGUCUGGUACACACCGCCCGUCACACCAUGGGAGUGGGCUUUACCAGGAAGUAGUUACCCAACCGUAAGGAGGGCGAUUACCACGGUAGGAUUCAUGACUGGGGUGAAGUCGUAACAAGGU
rnacentral:rRNA from 1 species